rnacentral:misc_RNA from 1 species
AAAUAAAAAUCGGGGUUGUUGCUGCCUUCGGUGGUGACGCUUCGGAACUGGGUCGUCUUUGCCUUCGGUUAAGUGACCUAAAAUUUCGGAUGAUUUUUCGAACGUAUUUAAAUUCUUUUACGUACGUUUGUAUAUCGAAUAUAUUGGAUGCGGUCAUUCCCAUGAUUCGCGUCUAUAAUUAUUUCAUC